rnacentral:rRNA from 1 species
GAUGAACGCUGGCGGCGUGCCUAAUACAUGCGAGUCGAGCGAACAGACGAGGAGCUUGCUCCUCUGACGUUAGCGGCGGACGGGUGAGUAACACGUGGAUAACCUACCUAUAAGACUGGGAUAACUUCGGGAAACCGGAGCUAAUACCGGAUAAUAUAUUGAACCGCAUGGUUCAAUAGUGGAAGACGGUUUUGCUGUCACUUAUAGAUGGAUCCGCGCCGCAUUAGCUAGUUGGUAAGGUAACGGCUUACCAAGGCAACGAUGCGUAGCCGACCUGAGAGGGUGAUCGGCCACACUGGAACUGAGACACGGUCCAGACUCCUACGGGAGGCAGCAGUAGGGAAUCUUCCGCAAUGGGCGAAAGCUUGACGGAGCAACGCCGCGUGAGUGAUGAAGGUCUUCGGAUCGUAAAACUCUGUUAUUAGGGAAGAACAAAUGUGUAAGUAACUAUGCACGUCUUGACGGUACCUAAUCAGAAAGCCACGGCUAACUACGUG